UGUUUAUAAUGUAACACACGGACCACUUUUUUUUUCAAGAAUAUGAAAAUAAUGAUUCAUCUAUAUUUUAACAGAUUUGUGUAAUUACGUGAUUUUCCUACAAAUAUGUAAUAAUAGUUCGUUACUAUUUGAAAAAUAUCACCCUCGAACUAAUAUUAGGGAAAAACGCUUCCAAGCAUUGAUUUGGCAAAUAUCCUUCACCCCCAUUGACUCGAGGUAAAUAAAGCACCCAUGAUUAAACAACAGGGCGGUUGACAGUAAUCUGGGUUAGCAAGAAAUGUAGACAUUCAUCUCUACAUCUUUGCAAACCACUUAGUGCUGAAUUCUCGAAAAAAAGUAAAUUAGCUAUCUAUUCUACUGCUGAAAAAACAACGGAUUUCCGGUUUCUAGUUGUUCGUUGAUCUCAACGACAGAAUGAGCAACAUCUACAUUCAAGAGCCUCCAUCAAAUGGAAACAGUGGUGCCAGAGUUCAUUGUCCAAGGAGGCGAUCCCACAGGCACCUGGACGGUGGAGAGUCCCAUCUAUGGACGGCAGUUCAAGGAUGAAUUACACUCCAGACUGCACUUCAACAGAUGAGGCCUGGUUGCCAUGGCCAACGCAAUGCCCCAUGACAAUGGCAGCCAGUUCUUCUUCACCCUUGCCCGGGCAGAUGAGCUCAACAACAAACACACCAUCUUUGGAAAGGAACUUUAGUCUGUUGUCAUUCGGAGAGGAAGCUGAGGAGGAAGAGGAGAUGGUAACUUAAGUCAGCCAGACACCGAAGGGGUAAAGCAAAAGCAGUCAUGACCUGCUGAAGGAUGAUCCACUGCUUAGCUCUGUCCCCACAGUCAACAAGUCAGUACACGAAGAUGUAGUACAGACACCAUGUUCUGCUGCCUCAACUUAUCUUAUUUUGACAAUGAAUUAUAUUCAUGAGUUAAUAUAUUAUUUAUUUGAAUCUAUUUGUCUUGUUAUUGAAGGAGAAAAGCCAAGGUGCAGCUGGUGCAGCAUUCCUUCAUGUUAUCUGCUCAAUCAAGACCACAUGCAUCACAUUAUAAUGCAUUCCAUUCAACUUGUUGGAAAACACAUUUUCUCUGAGUGUUCUCCAUUCUUUCUCUCAUCUCUCUCUCACAUUCUCUUGUGUUCGGGAGAGGAUGAUGAGGCUGCGGAGGGAGAUGCGGAUGGUGAUGAAAAGGAGUAUGACUGAUGAGAGGGAGGAAAUGAGGGAGAGGAUCUCUAAGAAGAUGGAGGAGAAGAAGAGUACAGACCCCAGUGAGGAGGACAGAGGGAAGAGGACCAACCGCAGGUUGAUUACACAAAAAUGAUAUACCAUCCACAGCAUAGCCUAAAUGCCUUUUACACACCUCUUUUUAAUUUGGGGAAUGUUUUCUCACAUGUACCUUACUAGCUAGGUUUCCAUCCAAUUGUCGACAGAUUUUUAUGCAUAAAAACAAUAUUUUCCCACCAGAGAUGUGUUUCUGUAAAAUGGACUUGUUGCAGAUUAAAGGCUGUACGUGAUGAUAUAGUGCACAUAAAAAUACCUAGAUUUUUAAAAAUUAUAUUGCAUUUUCAACUCUACUGAUGGGUUUUCUCAAAAUAUGCUCUGUUAUAUAGUGAGUAUGCCCACUCUGGUAUUGGCAUGUAAACUCUAGCCAAAAGCUCCCAAAUACUCUACCUGUAUAGCCUGCAUGGGAUUAUUAUGGACAAAGGAGCAAUAUUAUUUUAAUUUGUCAAACGACAGCCAAGCAUCGACGGUCAUGUCACCAGAAUAAGACCCUCAAUAUUUAUUGGAAAGGUGCAUCAAGCUCAUCACCUUGCACUUUCACCACCCUGUGACGUUCAUUACUGACUUCAUCUGUAGCCUAAUAAACUGCAGGCUUUCCUGAGUCGUGGUGGGAGGACCACACAUGUCAUUGUGUGACUCCAAGUUUACUUCGAUUUUAUGGUUAUUAUAUCAAUAUUUGCGCAUAAAAGCGUUUCAACUGACAUUUCUUGCAUAUUAAUUUUACAGACGCAAAAAGAUCCCACCUUGUCUAGCGUGUUUUGUCGACAUUUGGAAAGUUUAGCGAAACAUUUUCUGUUUCUAUUAGGCCUGUCGUAAAAAAUAUAUAUAUAUUCGACAUGUACUUUUAUUUGUAAAAAAAUCUAAUAAAAUGCCCCUUCACCACCACC